rnacentral:lncRNA from 1 species
ACAGGAUGAUGACUCAAAGAGUCUCUAGCCAGAGCAGGGAAGAACAUCAGAAAGAGUUUCUAAUGGUUCAUCAAUCAAGUCAUCAUCAUCAGAUCGAGAUACAUAUGGAUAGAUAUUUGGGCUUGACAUGAUUACAUGCCCAUGGCCUAUCCAAGAUAUUGUGUGAUCGAAGAAUUUAAUUGCAUGAUAACUUACUAUGA